UACGUAGGGUGCGAGCGUUGUCCGGAAUUAUUGGGCGUAAAGGGCUCGUAGGCGGUUUGUCGCGUCGGGAGUGAAAACCUCGGGCUUAACUCGGGGCUUGCUUUCGAUACGGGCAGACUGGAGGUAUGCAGGGGAGACUGGAAUUCCUGGUGUAGCGGUGAAAUGCGCAGAUAUCAGGAGGAACACCGGUGGCGAAGGCGGGUCUCUGGGCCACUACUGACGCUGAGGAGCGAAAGCGUGGGGAGCAAACAGG
rnacentral:rRNA from 1 species